rnacentral:rRNA from 1 species
UACGUAGGUGGCAAGCGUUGUCCGGAAUUACUGGGCGUAAAGCGUGCGCAGGCGGUUUUGUAAGCCAGAUGUGAAAUCCCCGGGCUUAACCUGGGAAUGGCAUUUGGGACUGCAAGGCUGGAGUUUGGCAGAGGAGACUGGAAUUCCUGGUGUAGCAGUGAAAUGCGUAGAUAUCAGGAGGAAUACCGAUGGCGAAGGCAGGUCUCUGGGCUAUAACUGACGCUCAUGCACGAAAGCGUGGGGAGCAAACAGG